UCCUUCGUAGCUUAGUUGGGAAAGCACCUGUCUAUCAUACUGGGGUCGUGGGUUCAAACCCCAUCGAAGGAA